AGAACCAUUAUUUUAAAAACGCGGUAUGUGCUAUUGUUACUAAUACUCAAUCCCACAGUAAGAACCUCACAAAAUUGAACAGGUAAUUUUCCAAAUAAUUACUGAUGAUUAUUACAACAAACAAGUAUUAAAAAAGUACGAAAUAAAAAAAUUAGUAAUGAUCCACGUAUUUUUUUUUUAAUACUAAUAUUCAGCAACGCAAGUUAAUUCCUUCUUCUUCUUCAUUUACGCGAAUUUGAAACAUGAUUUGUACAGCAGAGAAGAACAUUAUAAAUGCUGCUAUCGCGGACAUUGCACCUAUAAUAAUUAGUUAUACAAAUCCGAAAAUAGAUAAAUUUCUUACCUUUGAGGGUCAGAAAAAAUGAGACAAGAACAUUUUUAAUUCC